rnacentral:rRNA from 1 species
AGUGAACGCUGGCGGUAGGCCUAACACAUGCAAGUCGAACGGCCGCACAGUAAGAGCUUGCUCUUACGGGUGGCGAGUGGCGGACGGGUGAGGCAUACAUCGGAAUCUACUUUUUCGCGGGGGAUAACGUAGGGAAACUUACGCUAAUACCGCAUACGACCUACGGGUGAAAGCAGGGGAUCUUCGGACCUUGCGCGAUUGAAUGAGCCGAUGUCGGAUUAGCUAGUUGGCGGGGUAAAGGCCCACCAAGGCGACGAUCCGUAGCUGGUCUGAGAGGAUGAUCAGCCACACUGGAACUGAGACACGGUCCAGACUCCUACGGGAGGCAGCAGUGGGGAAUAUUGGACAAUGGGCGCAAGCCUGAUCCAGCCAUACCGCGUGGGUGAAGAAGGCCUUCGGGUUGUAAAGCCCUUUUGUUGGGAAAGAAAAGCAGCAGGUUAAUACCCCGCUGUUCUGACGGUACCCAAAGAAUAAGCACCGGCUAACUUCGUG